AGCCGAAGUCGGACGCUCAACCAACUGAACCACUCAGGCGCCCCGACAUUUACUGUUGAUAAUCAGCGUCGGUAAACGAAGGAGUCCUGUUUUGUGUGCAUGUUUCUAAGCUCGCAUGAAUGUGGUCAUGCUUUGUCUCAUCCGGCUCCUGUGUUUUUCCCUCCCUGUACUGUUCUCUCACAGCCUCAUUUCAAUCUGAUCCUUCCUUCCGCUGAUGCCGGACAGCAGGCCUGUCCCGGGUCUUGCUGUACUGAACUGGGCCGCAGCGGAGGUUCCUGUACGAGGCUCCACGGGCCCAGGGCUGGAGUUUCCCGGCGGGGACACCAGGUCAUGGAGCUGCUGCGGCAAAGGGGUCCCCUAAUGCGAGCUGGGCUCAGCUGGGAGUGGCCGUGUCUCUCAUCCUCCUUCCAGGACCCACAGGCCAGUCAGAUUCCCUCAUCGUACCAAUGGGAAAACUGAGGCCCAGACCCGGGACGGGACUAGCCCGGCGUCACACCUGAGUGGCGCGCCCUGUCCUAGCCCUUCCCCUGACACUGAAGGCCCCCACCUGACCGUGCCGGCCGCCACAGCUGAGACCCUGCAGGCGGACGUACCGACAAAGGGCUGUGAGCGUUUUACCCUGCGGCAGGUUCUCCAGGAGCCGCCUAGAUCCACAGCGUUUACAUCAGAUGAAGUGAGCAAUUGACGUUGAAGCGUGAGGGAAAGGAUGCAAACAAAACCCAAAACCAUGGGUUUGCCCAUCGUCUGUUACUUUGUUACCUUUUAUGUUGUAUGUAAUUAGCAGAUAGAAUUCUGUGGCGGAUUUCGUUAGCGGCCUCAUCAGGUGACCACUUUCAGGUGGGGAGUAUCGACUGAAAGCAAACACACCGUGUAUAAGGAGCAGGGAAAUGGAAUCUGAAAGACCCAUUGCUUCCCUGCGCUGAGGCAGAAUCUCCCCAGGGCAGCGGCGCUCCGUCAGCGCCCUCCUGCAAGGAGCAGGGCCAGGUGGGAGGCAGCAGUAGCCGGGGAGCCUGGGGGACAGGGCCCAGACAGCCCUGCCUUUGCCUCUCACCACCCAGGUGACCUAGACCUUGGGUAAGUCACGUUGUCUCUCUGAGCCUCAGUUUCUCUGUCUGUAGAAUGGGGCUUAUCAUCUGACCUCCUCCAGCGCUUUGCUGUGUGGGCUUCAUGAACUCCUGUACAGAAAACCCCCAGCGUGGGGGGAGCAAAUAUUUGGUGCUCAAAAAGGUGAACGUUCCUUCCUUCCUCUCUCGCUGGGUGGUCCCAGGCAGUCACCCUCGCCCUCUGAGGGGCCACAACAUAUACCUUCUGGGACUCUCUUCACAGCUGUCCCCUCUGCCGCCUGCCCCGUGAGCAAAUCGGUGAUCAGUCCCGGGUUACAAACCUGAGUGCGACAGGCCAGGUGGGGACUGUGACCUGAGCGAUGACCUCAGCCACUGGCUCCAGCUGCCAUAAAGGCCAGUGGAGGCAUUUCUUGGGGUUUUCUAGAGAUUUCCCAAAUCCAUGUUGUGGGGUUUGGGAAUAAAACCUUCCAAUUUAUAAA